ACCUUUUGGUAGAGAGGUCCUAAUCUUUUUCUUUCUUCUCUUUUUUUUUUGUUGCUCCGAGAUCUUCUUUUCCUCCCUCCUCCUCCCCCGGCCAGUGUAAGAUUACCUAGCUGCACGCAGAGAGAUUGCCAAGAUAAGAUCUGCACUGCCGCCCUCUUUUGCUUGUCUCUUUCACUAAAGAGAGGCCGGCCAGCUGCAUGCACCCAGGCCACCAGCGCGCGCAGGAGCAGCUUGGUGUGGUUCUAUCUGCCUGCCCCUGCCUCCUGCGGACGGAGUCCUUGUGCUUGUGGACGGUGUGGGGUUGGUUUCCCAACUCCCUUCCCUUCCCACCAUAUAUGGCCAUUAAAUCUUUUUCCUCGACAUGGGCAGCCGAGUGAGAGCUUUGGAGUACGGGGGAGCUAGCGAAUCGCAUGCGGUCGAAACAGUUCGGUCUCUCCAAUUAACUAGGGAGUGCGGAAGUGAGUACGCUCAAGCUGGAGGAGGACAAGAACCAGUUGUCCAAGGGCUUGGACCCUUGGAGCAACCCUACCGCCGCCACCAGCACCCUGCACUACCUGCUCCAGGAGAAGGAGAGAGCGCAGGCGCAUGAGCAGCUCCAGAUCUACCACCAGCAAGGAUUCAGCUACCUCCAGCACCGCCGGAGGCAGCAGCAGCAGCAGCAGCAGCCGAGGGCUGCAGGAGCUGGCAGUGAUGGCGUCAGCAGCGGCGAGUCGACGCCCGUGGACGCCCUGGCGACCGCAUUCGGGAGCGGCCGCAUCGUGCGGUCUGCCGCCGGGCGCAAGGACCGCCACAGCAAGGUGUGCACCGCGCGCGGGCUGCGCGACCGCCGUGUCCGCCUCGCCGCGCACACGGCCAUCCGGUUCUACGACGUGCAGGACCGGCUAGGCUACGACCGCCCCAGCAAAGCCGUCGACUGGCUCAUCCGUAACGCUAAGGCCGCCAUCGACGAGCUUUCGGCCGACCGGGAAGAGGGGCAGCCUGCCGCGGAGGCAGCGGAUGCCACUACUACCGAGCCGGCCGAGCAGGUGACCUCGACGUCCUACGGGUUCGCCAUCGGUGGUGUGGCCGGCUCCUUCAUGCCACAUUCGGUCGGUGCCGAUGACGUCUCCGGCUCCGGCUCCGGCUCCGGCUCCGGCAACGUCAAGUCUUUGUUCCCCUCGUCGUCGACAACGAGCACUACCCCCACCCAGGACGAGUACAGGGGCUCCCCGCCGGACCUUCUGUCGCGCACGACCAGCAGCAACCAGCCUCAGGAGCUUUGCCUCACUCUCCAGUCUACCAAUAACCACCACCACCAGCAGCAGCAGCAGCAGCAGAUCUUCAGCCAUGUGUCCCCGAACCACCACGGUAGUAUGAUCUCCGUUGCAGGCGUCCAAGGCUGGCCGGAGGCGCACGGCCAGAGAAUGCCGCCGUGGCAUGCUCCAGAGAACAGCGGCGCGGGAGACGACGGGCGCGGGGCCGCCGGAAAUGGCGACAGUUACAUGUUCGGCGUGCCCGGCCCACGGCAAGGGUUAGACCACCUGCAGGGCCAGCUGAUCUUCUCCCAAGGGGAACCCCUUCAGUCCAGUGGCGGCGGCUGGCCGUCGUCGUCUGCCCGCGCUUGGCUCGACCCCCUCGUCGCGAUCCACCAGCACCAGCCGUCGACGAUGUCCGGGCAGGUCGGCUUCGGUCAUCUGGUUGGCGGCGCCGGAAGCGGGUUUAUGGGGUUCCUCGCGCCGCCGGCCCAGCGGCUGCAGCUGCAGAGCGAGGACGAGCAAGGAAGCGAAGCAAUGAGGGAGUGAUGAGCGUGAUUAGCUACUACUGCUGAGGUACGGUGUGCGAGCUUACCACGCACUGCUCUCCAUUGAUCUGCUCAGUUAUAUGUCAUUGUCAUUUCAUGUAGGAGUUUGUUUAGGUGAUGGAAUUUCGCAUCAUUAAUUAUUAGCUGCUGCAAUAUUCAAUCAUGCCUCUGUAUAAGUCGUCCUUGGAACCUGACAGCGUUACUGUUACAUUAGUGGCUACUACUACGUACUUUUGUUUUUUUAUUUCAUUCUUUUUUUUUCCAUUUCAUGGUUGUCAACAUGGAUAAGAUGUGUGGUGAUGAUGAGAUAGACGGGACGAGAUGUGAUCUCGAUGGGGUUUCCCCUCUUUGGACCA